UGCCCCUCACUGUCAUUGUGCUACUGCAAUA
rnacentral:piRNA from 1 species